rnacentral:rRNA from 1 species
AUAUAGGACGUCCAACUUAACUUGGAGUCCGAACUCUCACUUUCUAACCCUGUGCACUUGUUUGGGAUAGUAACUCUCGCAAGAGAGCGAACUCCUAUUCACUUAUAAACACAAAGUCUAUGAAUGUAUUAAAUUUUAUAACAAAAUAAAACUUUCAACAACGGAUCUCUUGGCUCUCGCAUCGAUGAAGAACGCAGCGAAAUGCGAUAAGUAAUGUGAAUUGCAGAAUUCAGUGAAUCAUCGAAUCUUUGAACGCACCUUGCGCUCCAUGGUAUUCCGUGGAGCAUGCCUGUUUGAGUGUCAUGAAUACUUCAACCCUCCUCUUUCUUAAUGAUUGAAGAGGUGUUUGGUUUCUGAGCGCUGCUGGCCUUUACGGUCUAGCUCGUUCGUAAUGCAUUAGCAUCCGCAAUCGAACUUCGGAUUGACUUGGCGUAAUAGACUAUUCGCUGAGGAAUUCUAGUCUUCGGAUUAGAGCCGGGUUGGGUUAAAGGAAGCUUCUAAUCAGAAUGUCUACAUUUUAAGAUUAGAUCUCAAAUCAGGUAGGACUACCCGCUGAACUUAAGCAUAUCAAUAAGCGGAGGAAAAGAAACUAACAAGGAUUCCCCUAGUAGCGGCGAGCGAAGCGGGAAGAGCUCAAAUUUAUAAUCUGGCACCUUCGGUGUCCGAGUUGUAAUCUCUAGAAAUGUUUUCCGCGUUGGACCGCACACAAGUCUGUUGGAAUACAGCGGCAUAGUGGUGAGACCCCCGUAUAUGGUGCGGACGCCCAGCGCUUUGUGAUACAUUUUCGAAGAGUCGAGUUGUUUGGGAAUGCAGCUCAAAUUGGGUGGUAAAUUCCAUCUAAAGCUAAAUAUUGGCGAGAGACCGAUAGCGAACAAGUACCGUGAGGGAAAGAUGAAAAGCACUUUGGAAAGAGAGUUAACAGUACGUGAAAUUGUUGGAAGGGAAACGCUUGAAGUCAGACUUGCUUGCCGAGCAAUCGGUUUGCAGGCCAGCAUCAGUUUUCCGGGAUGGAUAAUGGUAGAGAGAAGGUAGCAGUUUCGGCUGUGUUAUAGCUCUCUGCUGGAUACAUCUUGGGGGACUGAGGAACGCAGUGUGCCUUUGGCGGGGGUUUCGACCUCUUCA